rnacentral:rRNA from 1 species
AGUCGAGCGAGGCCCGCUCUUCGGGGUGGUGCCCUAGCGGCGAACGGGUGAGUAACACGUGGGCAACCUGCCCUCAGCUCUGGGAUAACUCCAAGAAAUUGGUGCUAAUACCGGAUGUGACCGCUGACCGCAUGGUCUGGUGGUGGAAAGAUUCAUCGGCUGAGGAUGGGCCCGCGGCCUAUCAGCUUGUUGGUGGGGUGAUGGCCUACCAAGGCGACGACGGGUAGCCGGCCUGAGAGGGUGACCGGCCACACUGGGACUGAGACACGGCCCAGACUCCUACGGGAGGCAGCAGUGGGGAAUAUUGCGCAAUGGGCGAAAGCCUGACGCAGCGACGCCGCGUGGGGGAUGACGGCCUUCGGGUUGUAAACCUCUUUCAGUAGGGACGAAGCGUAAGUGACGGUACCUACAGAAGAAGCACCGGCCAACUACGUGCCAGCAGCCGCGGUAAUACGUAGGGUGCAAGCGUUGUCCGGAAUUAUUGGGCGUAAAGAGCUCGUAGGCGGUCUGUCGCGUCGGCUGUGAAAACCCGAGGCUCAACCUCGGGCCUGCAGUCGAUACGGGCAAACUAGAGUGUUGCAGGGGAGACUGGAAUUCCUGGUGUAGCGGUGAAAUGCGCAGAUAUCAGGAGGAACACCGGUGGCGAAGGCGGGUCUCUGGGCAACAACUGACGCUGAGGAGCGAAAGCGUGGGGAGCGAACAGGAUUAGAUACCCUGGUAGUCCACGCCGUAAACGUUGGGCGCUAGGUGUGGGGGCCAU